GGAUGAGACGGUCUCCACAGUCUGGAGUCUGAUCUCUGACAGCCUCAACAUACCUGUCAAUCAACAGGGACUCCUCUACAAAGGCAAGGCGCUGGCAGGUAGGCUGAACAGCACAGCACAGCACAGCACAGCACAGCACAGCUCACCCCUCCUCUCACCCCUCGCCUCAUCCCUCCUCUCACUCCUCGCCUCACCCCGGGUCAGUGUGGCACAGCCUGCCUGCUCUUCUGAACAAACACUUCAGCCCUGCCGACGCAGUGAGAGUCUGGAGCAGCAACACAAGGUCUGUGAGGAUGAGAAGGUCUCCACAGUCUGGAGUCUGAUCUCUGACAGCCUCAACAUACCUGUCAAUCAACAGGGACUCCUCUACAAAGGCAAGGCGCUGGCAGGUGAUGAAGUGACACUUUGAAUAUGGGGCCUGAUGAGCGAAGUAUCCUUUUCAUGUGGUUUUGGUUUUGCCGUUGUGAGCAGGUAUGGGAGACAGCACCGUGUCUGCAUGUGAAAUAACAAAGUCAUCGCAGUGGAGGGACUCUCUGAAGGCUGCUGUUUGUGGAUUUGUCUUGUAAUGUCAAAGAAGUCCCCUGGGUCGACAUUGUCUACCUUUUAGGAUUUUGAAUGUUUGAAUCAGAUCGCCCUGUAGUCGUCUUUGUUCAAGACUGAAUAGAUUCAAUUCUUUUAGCCUGUCUGCAUAUGACAUGCCUUUUAAACCCGGGAUAAUUCUGGUUGCUCUUCUUUGCACUCUUUCUAGAGCAGCAAUAUCCUUUUUGUAACAAGGUGACCAGAACUGAACACAAUAUUCUAGGUGAGGUCUUACUAAUUCAUUGUAAAAUUUUAACAUUACUUCCCUUGAUUUACAUUCAACACUCCUCACAAUAUAUCCAAGCAUCUUGUUGGCAUUUUUUUUAUAGCUUCCCCACAUUGUCUAGAGGAAGACAUUUCUGAGUCAACAUAAACUCCUAGGUCUUUUUCAUAGUUCCCUUCUUCAAUUUCAGUAUCUCCCAUAUGAUAUUUGUAAUGCACGUUUUUAUUGCCUGCAUGCAAUACUUUACACUUUUCUCUAUUAAAUUUCAUUUGUCAUGUGUCUGCCCAGGUCUGAAUGCUGUCUAGAUCAUUUUGAAUGACCUUUGCUGCUGCAACAGUGUUUGCCACUCCUAUUUUUGUGUCGUCUGCAGAUUUAACAAGUUUGCUUACUAUACCAGAAUCUAAAUAAUUAAUGUAGAUUAGGAAUAGCAGAGGACCCAAUACUGAUCCCUGUGGUACACCACUGGUUACCUUGCUCCAUUUUGAGGUUUCUCCUCUAAGCAGUACUUUCUGUUUUCUACAUGUUUACCACUCCCUAAUCCAUGUGCAUGCAUUUGCAUCCAUGUGCAUCCCCUGGUCAGCUGUCCAGCUCACUGCUGCAGAAGUUUGUUUGGGGCUGGGACAAUGGACUUGUGUGUUUUAGCCAUUUGUUAAUCUUUGAAGAGGACCUGCAAGUUUGUCUUGCAGUCUUCCCUGCAAUAAUGAUGGACUUUAUUUAUUUGAGAAUCUGUGUUGGAAAAUGUACUUUUUGACGGUGAAGUUGUGUUUAAAAAAACAAGUAAAGGAAAUGUACAUGAUCUCUAACUCGCUAUUUGACAAAUAACAAUUAAAAAAUGAAAGCAUGUGUGAUGCCUAUUUCCCUGCAAGCCCUUUUCUUUGCCCACUGGAGCACACAGCCUCUUAUGGGGGUUUGGAACCGCAAAUCACUGCAUCUUAAACACACAGCUCUAGAGUCCGUAACUACAGCAUGUACUGUACCGUUUAUUGUGUGUGUUUUAAUGAAGUCUGCUGCUGUACUUGUCUGGCUGUGAGCUUUUGCGUUACCAACAAACAAGGAAUUAAACAAAACAAAAGCAGCUCCGUUCUCAGCCUGGCGUGAGAUUGAUUUUUUUUUUUUUUUAUCUACAAUGGGAAGUGCUUUAGACUGAACAACCUCAAGCUCCCUUCAUCUUGUCACAGCUCUGCACUGUGAUAUAAAGUCUAUUUCCUGUACAUUGUCAUUAUUUUUUGUGUUUUAUUUAUUGUGAUUAUUAUUAUGAUUUUAAGAAUGUAUCGGAAAUGUCUUUGUUUUUGCACAGUGGUAAGGUUAGUCCGAGUCAUUACAAUGGGCAACUGAGCUGUGUUAAGAUAAAACUUUUUUUUUUUAAAUUAAAGAAAAUUAUCUUUAUUAAAAUCAACAGUUCUACUAAAUGGCCACACGAUGGCAGCAUUGAAUAAGGAAUAGCAAGAGCUUCGUUCUGCCUGUCUUCAUAAAGUGCACUGCCUGCUUUGCCCAUUGUUGUAACCUGCUUGACAAAGCCACGCUGAAUUAAUCAGCUCACUGGGGGUGGGGGUGUGUCUAUUUAUUAUUAUUUUCUUAGCAUGUGCCCUUAUCCAGCGCGACUUACAAUUGUUAUAAGAUAUCACAUUAUUUUUUACAUACAAUUCCCCAUUUAUAUAGUUGAGUUUUUUCUGGAGCAAUCUAGGUAAAGUACCUUGCUCAAGGGUACAGCAGCAGUGUCCCCCCCCACCUAGGAUUGAACCCACAACCUUCCGGUCAAGAGUCCAGAGCCCUAACCACUACUCCACACUACUGCCCGUAUUUGUUUGACUCUGUCAAAGAUACAAUAGAAGUGACUCUUUUAUUUUAGCUAUUUUCAAGGCAGUAAUCACCUCCAUGUUGUACAAAUCAUUAGUCCAGUUCAAGUCACAAAUGAGUGUAGUGGUACAGCUGGUAGGAUGGCUCAGUUGGUAGAGCACAGGGCCCUGAUUCCCAGGGUUGGUGGUCCAAACCCCAUUCACAAUGCCUGUUUUUCUGGUUUUUUUUUUUUUCAAGUUGGUUAAUUUGCCUUGUAGGCAAUGUAAAACUAACAUCAAGGACAGCUGCUAGGUGUCGCAGUGGGGUUGGUCCCUGUGCUUAAAUGCUGUUUACCUUGAGAGACUGGGAUCAAAUCCAGGCUGCAGAUUGAAAUCGUCUGUUUUCACAGCACCUUGGAGUUUGAAUCUGUUAAAGACACGAUAGAAGUGACUCUUUUAUUGGAUAUUUCCAAUGAUCUGCAUUUUGUACAAAUCAUUAGUUAAUGUACUGGAGGUCAUUUGACAGCAGGAGAGAGCAGUUGUCUGGCUGCCUCAAUUGGUAGAGCACUGGACUCUGAUUUCCAGGGUUGUUGGUUAAUCUGUCGAUUUAAAAAAUAUUGUUAAAUUUACCUUUUUAUCAGGUUUAUAAGGUUUGGCUUUGAAUCCAGUUUAAGUCACAAAUGAAACGAAGCUGAGAAUCCCCUUAGCCCCCAGGUCCACACCACACAAUGUAAUAAUGUGUUUCACGCAGCAGGAGAGCCAGUCAGCUGGAUAGCUCUGUUGGUAGAGCAGCAGGAGAGCCAGUCAGCUGGAUAGCUCUGUUGGUAGAGCAGCAGGAGAGCCAGUCAGCUGGAUAGCUCUGUUGGUAGAGCAGGGGACUGUGAUUCCCAUGGUAGCGGGAUGAAACCCUUGCUAAGGGUAUGUGUUUCAUUUUCAUUUCAAACACUUUGCCCAUUUUGAUAGACUUGGGUUUACAUAACAGGACAUCGUUUCAUACAAAUAAUAAUAUAAUGAGGGUGAUAUAAGGGCUUCUCUGCAAUGCCAGCUUGUCACAAGCAGACAGGUGGUGCAGUGGGCUAGUUCACUGGUAUGCUGUGUUGGUUGCUGUGGGGGACUGGGUUCAAAUCCAGGUGCAUUUCUCCUUUGUUUUCAAAGACUUGGUUAAUUUCUUAUAUAAGGCAAUGAAAAAGCAGACUACUCCGUGGAAGUGAGAUGGGUUGGAAUCCAUUUCAAGUCACAAAUGAAACGAAGCUGUGAAUCAAAUUAACACAAUAUAAUAAUGUGUUUCACGCAGUAGGAGAACCAGUCAGCUGGAUAGCUCUGUCAGUA